CUGAUCGCACGGUCUCGUACCGGCGACGCAUCUUUCAAAUGUUUGCCUUAUCAACUGUCGAUGGUAGGUUCUGCGCCUACCAUGGUUGUAACGGGUAACGGGGAAUCAGGGUUCGAUUCCGGAGAGGGAGCCUGAGAAACGGCUACCACAUCCAAGGAAGGCAGCAGGCGCGCAAAUUACCCACUCCCGGCACGGGGAGGUAGUGACGAAAAAUAACGAUACGGGACUCAUCCGAGGCCCCGUAAUCGGAAUGAGUACACUUUAAAUCCUUUAACGAGGAUCAAUUGGAGGGCAAGUCUGGUGCCAGCAGCCGCGGUAAUUCCAGCUCCAAUAGCGUAUAUUAAAGUUGUUGCGGUUAAAAAGCUCGUAGUUGAAUCUGUGUCGCACGCUGUCGGUUCGCCGCUCGCGGUGUUUAACUGACAUGCUCGUGAGACGUCCUACCGGUGGGCUUAGCUCCUUCGGGGGCGGUCCAACUAAUAUCCCAUCGCGGUGCUCUUUAUUGAGUGUCGAGGUGGGCCGGUACGUUUACUUUGAACAAAUUAGAGUGCUUAAAGCAGGCUAUCAUUUGCCUGAAUAUUCUGUGCAUGGAAUAAUGGAAUAGGACCUCGGUUCUAUUUUGUUGGUUUUAAGAAACCCGAGGUAAUGAUUAAUAGGGACAGAUGGGGGCAUUCGUAUUGCGACGUUAGAGGUGAAAUUCUUGGAUCGUCGCAAGACGGACAGAAGCGAAAGCAUUUGCCAAAAAUGUUUUCAUUAAUCAAGAACGAAAGUUAGAGGUUCGAAGGCGAUCAGAUACCGCCCUAGUUCUAACCAUAAACGAUGCCAGCUAGCGAUCCGCUGCAGUUCCUCCAAUGACGCGGCGGGCAGCUUCCGGGAAACCAAAGCUUUUGGGUUCAGGGGGAAGUAUGGUUGCAUAGCUGAAACUUAAAGGAAUUGACGGAAGGGCACCACCAGGAGUGGAGCCUGCGGCUUAAUUUGACUCAACACGGGAAACCUCACCAGGCCCGGACACCGGAAGGAUUGACAGAUUGAGAGCUCUUUCUUGAUUCGGUGGGUGGUGGUGCAUGGCCGUUCUUAGUUGGUGGAGCGAUUUGUCUGGUUAAUUCCGAUAACGAACGAGACUCUAGCCUGCUAAAUAGGCGUACCUUAUGGUAUCUUGAAGGCCCCCGGCUUCGGUCGGUGGGUUUUUACUACCAACGUACAAAUAAAUCUUCUUAGAGGGAC
rnacentral:rRNA from 1 species